rnacentral:rRNA from 1 species
AACGAACGCUGGCGGCAUGCCUAACACAUGCAAGUCGAACGAGACCUUCGGGUCUAGUGGCGCACGGGUGCGUAACGCGUGGGAACCUGCCCUUAGGUUCGGAAUACCUCCCCGAAAGGGGUGCUAAUACCGGAUAAUGUCUUCGGACCAAAGAUUUAUCGCCUUUGGAUGGGCCCGCGUUGGAUUAGCUAGUUGGUAGGGUAAAAGCCUACCAAGGCGACGAUCCAUAGCUGGUCGGAGAGGAUGAUCAGCCACACUUGGACUGAGACACGGCCCAGACUCCUACGGGAGGCAGCAGUGGGGAAUAUUGGACAAUGGGCGAAAGCCUGAUCCAGCAAUGCCGCGUGAGUGAUGAAGGCCUUAGGGUUGUAAAGCUCUUUUACCCGGGAUGAUAAUGACAGUACCGGGAGAAUAAGCUCCGGCUAACUCCGUG